CCAUCAGCGCCCCCUGCUGGAAAACAGACAGCUCCGCUCCAGAAUUAAGGAAGCUUUUUUACACCCAAAGAAACAUUUUUUGUGGCAGCGCUCACCCUGUUUUGAACCUUUAGAUAAUUUCCUGUUUCAGUGCUUCAGCCGUGUUAGAGCUGUGGGAUUUUACCCCGUCUCAGCUCCAGUUUGCAGAGUACUGAGCGAUCGUUCAGGACCUGUAUCGGUCCAGUGUUUGGUCGUCCAUGUGAGUGAAGUUGGCCCCCCACCUUCUUCAAAUCAAACAAAAUUGAUGUCAAACAUUUUUGUUUGUGCUGAUUUUGUUUUAAAGAUAUUAGUAAAAUAUCUG